rnacentral:lncRNA from 1 species
ACAAAUUUCAACAUCCAUUCAUGAUUUAAAAUGAUCAGAAAACAAAGAUUAGAAAGAAAUUUAUAAUUUAUAACUAUACAAAGGGCAUAUACCAAGAAACUUAAUCUAACAUCAUAGUGGCAAAAGAAUAUGUCCCUCCCUAAGAUGAGGGGCAAAGCAAGAACGUCCACUAUCACCACUUCUAUCCAGCAUUGUAUUGGAGGACCUGCCAGUGUAAGAUGGAACUGGGCAAUAAAGAAAAGAAAAUAAAAGUAAACCAAUUGGAAAGGAAGAAGAAACAUUUUUAGCUGACGUGUUUUGUACCUGGAAAAGUCUAAGGAAUCUACCAAAAUGCUACCAGAUCUAAUAUUUCUGUGCAUUAGCAGUGAGCAAUUGGAAAUUAGAAUGUAAAAAUAAAUGCUAUUUUCAGCAGUAUCAAAAUGUAAAUAGGGGAUAAAUUUUUAAAAACGUUUAAGAUAUAUGCAGAAAACUACAAAAACAAUGCUGAGGAUAAUUAAAGAUGACAUAAAUAAAUGGCCUAUCUUAUUGUUUUAAUUUCCAUGUUGAUAUCCAAUUGCUCCAGUA